CCUACGGGAGGCAGCAGUGGGGAAUUUCGGACAAUGGGCGAAAGCCUGAUCCAGCAAUGCCGCGUGAGUGAAGAAGGCCUUCGGGUUGUAAAGCUCUUUUGUCAGGGAAGAAACGGUGAGGGCUAAUAUCCCUUGCUAAUGACGGUACCUGAAGAAUAAGCACCGGCUAACUACGUGCCAGCAGCCGCGGUAAUACGUAGGGCGCAAGCGUUAAUCGGAAUUACUGGGCGUAAAGCGUGCGCAGGCGGUUUUGUAAGUCUGUCGUGAAAUCCCCGGGCUCAACCUGGGAAUUGCGAUGGAGACUGCAAGGCUAGAAUCUGGCAGAGGGGGGUAGAAUUCCACGUGUAGCAGUGAAAUGCGUAGAGAUGUGGAGGAACACCGAUGGCGAAGGCAGCCCCCUGGGUCAAGAUUGACGCUCAUGCACGAAAGCGUGGGGAGCAAACAGGAUUAGAUACCCUGGUAGUCCACGCCCUAAACGAUGUCUACUAGUUGUCGGGUUUUAAUUAACUUGGUAACGCAGCUAACGCGUGAAGUAGACCGCCUGGGGAGUACGGUCGCAAGNUUAAAACUCAAAGGAAUUGACG
rnacentral:rRNA from 1 species